UUCAAACAGCUCAGUCGGUAAAAGCAUGAGACUCUUAAUCUCAGGGUCAUGGGUUCGAGUACUGUGUCGGGCAAAA